ACAACAAUUCACUGUUGAUUUACUUUUCUACGAUUGCUCCCAUUAGAUUGUCCUUAAAUCAUGUGCAAAGCUGAAGUAUUGUUCGCUGACUGUCAGCCUGACAGAUCAGAUGGGAUGAUGAUGCAGAGUGUUAAAAGGCCUAAUGGGUUAUCUCCUUGGUAGAUGAAGCUUGUUGGAUUGAUUUCAGGCCAUUGAAAACAGAUGACACCAUGCCUCCCCCAGUUAAUGAACAUGUGUCGCUCCCAAGUAAUAAUGAAUUUUCUACUCUCUCUGCUCUGCUGAACUUUCUUUUCUUUUGCCAUUUUGGCUGGUAGUCUUUCAUAGAAUUUUGUGAUAUCUACCUGACUCCACAAGGUCAUGCAACAUUAAGAAUUGCUGGGUUUGAAAAACACAUGAUGGAAUUGUUAAUUCAUUAUCUCUGUCUGAAGCAAGACAUUUUUGGUACACUGUUGAAUAGAGUUGAUGUAUCAGCAUAAGUAACAUUGCAACAUUCUAAGGGUUGGUGCUAAAAACCAACCUAGAAACCAUUGUUUUCCCAACAACUAUGUGGUUCAUAUGUUGAUAUGAUUGUUUACUGGUAGGACAACCAGGAGGUAGUGCAAUAUCCUUAUUAGUUAUACUCAGGGAUGCAAAAUCUUCACCUGAUGAUUCCACCCCUUUUUACAUGACACUAGCUGCCGCAUGGUAAAAGGUGUCUCGCCGAUGCUCUUUAUGACACCCGCUGACAGAUUAAUGAGUGCACUCAUAGAGAACAUAACAAGGUACAUACUGAAGGAUGUUCUGAGGCUAGCACCUGGUUUAGAAGUUUUGCAAUUCACAACAAUACCUCAUAAUUUUGAUUUGAUGUCCAGAAUGUCAAUUGAAGAAUGAGCCUAUGAACUGCAUUGUAUUUUGUAAUAUAUCCUUAUAUAUGGUGCUUGUGGUGUUUUGUUUUUGCAAUUAUAAGUUUACGUUUAUGGGUAUUAUAGAGUCCUUUCUUUUUCCACAAGGGGCAGUAGCCGUGCCAUUCGAUUCGAAGGACAAAGAGUUGAUCACAAAGGGGUAGCACCUAGGAUAUAUACACAAGAGUAUAGAACCAAAUUAUAUGAUGUAAUUGACCACUAUUUCUAUUAACUUAUCAUGUACAAAUGUUCACGAGUUCAUGUAUUAAGUACAUUUUAUUGUGUCACUUGUGUUUACUCUUUUUAAUGCAAGUUUACAGCUA